AAAAUUUUUAUUGAAAAUCUGACGAGUAACUCGAACUCAACUAAGGUCGACUAUUUUCGGGCUAGAUCGAGCUGAGCUCAAAUUGAUUCGGUUCGAAUUCAACCCUAAUCAAGGCCUUGAGGUAAGACCCAUAAAAAAUUAUUAAAAAUUAAAAAAAAAAAAGCUAAAUAUUAAUUAUACAUAAAAAAAAUUAAAAUAUUAUAAUUUAAUAUGCUAACCCACAAAAAGACAUGGGUUAGCCCAUUAAAAACCGACAUGACAUGGCCCAGAAGGUCUUGAGCCAUGUCAUGAAGCCUCUUCAUCUGGUGGGUCAACAUGAUCUGCAAGAUCCGUACUGUAACGAGUCUUGGCACGGGCUGAUCCACUAACAUGACAGGCUCAUUAAGGCUGCCUCGGGACAGGCCAUCACCAUGUCUAACCGCACCAAAUGCUAAAACUAGUUUUAGUCACCUAGAGCAGACUGACCUUCCUUCUGAUUCCACCGGCCAGUCCAGCCCGGGUUUUAAAAUAAUGAGUGAACUUACUGCAUUCUCUUCUUUGCAAGUGCCGAUGACUGCAUAAUAAGAGGUAGUGGAAGAUGAGACUGCUGCAGUAGCGAUACUUAGAGAACCCCUCUUAGUUUUACAGGCUCUCAGAAUUUGGCAUGCAUGUUGAACCAGGAAAAUCCGCCUCCAGAUGUUUCGUGGACGGUCACCGCCUAUAAGCAAGUCUCUCUGCUGCGACUCAAUGUCUCGACAAUCAGAGCUCAUGUUUGACAUGUUGCAUGCCCGCCUGCUGAACCAGAACUUUUUGUAUUAUAAUACCAAGGAAGAGAAACAGAAAAAUCAGUGAAACCCUUUUGAAGAUAACCCCAAAUGGCUGGCUUUUUUUUAUACAUAAUGAACCAUGAAACCUCCUGGAAGCUGCAGUGUGAUUUACAUUUUUUCCAAUUAAAUUUCCUCAACACUUGCUGAAAAACUAGGCAGACCACAAGAACAGGAGAGAAGAGCAGGAGGUUGACGCCGUUCUCGUUAGUCAAGAGAAACACGCGUUUUGAUUGUAAGGAUGAUGGCGGAAAAUAUCAUAAAUUUCUUUCAAG